GGUCCUGUAGUGUAGUGGUUUAUCACUUGGGAUUUUGAACACGCUCGCCGGACGGCUCCUGAUCCCGGCCGUCUAGCGAGUGUGGCUCUUCCCAAAACCCAGGUUCGAACCCUGGCAGGACCU